UACCUCAAAAACCCACAACAGUCUGUUUCAUCCGUAUAGGAAUCAUCAGGUGGUCCACCUGAUGAUUCCUAUACGGAUGAAACAGACUGUUGUGGUUUUU